rnacentral:rRNA from 1 species
AGUGAGGAAUAUUGGUCAAUGGGCGCUAGCCUGAACCAGCCAAGUAGCGUGAAGGAUGACUGCCCUAUGGGUUGUAAACUUCUUUUAUAUGGGAAUAAAGUGCAGUAUGUAUACUGCUUUGCAUGUACCUUAUGAAUAAGGAUCGGCUAACUCCGUGCCAGCAGCCGCGGUAAUACGGAGGAUCCGAGCGUUAUCCGGAUUUAUUGGGUUUAAAGGGAGCGUAGGCGGGUUGUUAAGUCAGUUGUGAAAGUUUGCGGCUCAACCGUAAAAUUGCAGUUGAUACUGGCAUCCUUGAGUACAGUAGAGGUAGGCGGAAUUCGUGGUGUAGCGGUGAAAUGCUUAGAUAUCACGAAGAACUCCGAUUGCGAAGGCAGCCUGCUGGACUGUAACUGACGCUGAUGCUCGAAAGU